rnacentral:tRNA from 1 species
UAGGCCCGUAGCUCUAAUAGGGAGAGCACCGGACUCCAAAUCCGGGGGUUGCAGGUUCGAGCCCUGCCGGGCCUGCCAA